CCCCUCCUCAUUUGCCUCGCUCGAUCUGGAGAAGAGCCGAAAGGAGCGGUCGCCGCGCUCACCAUCGCCCUCGUCCUCCCGGUGCCAGGAUAAGCCCCGGGACGCCACGAAGCCCCGCCAUCGACCCGUCUUCCCCGACUGCAGCCUUCGUACGCCACCGUCGAUUCACCUACCUCGAUUCCCCCAGGACCAUCUGGCCUCCCCUACUGACGCGCUACCCCGAGACGGAUGCUGCCCCUGUGAUCGACUACGUCGACGACGACCCCUCCUUGCCAGAGCAACCAGGCAAGCCCCCCUUUGAUCAUCCCGAUAUCGCCCAUUCCAUUCUCUCAUGCUUGCAUUAGAUUUUGCUACUGUUAUUGUUUGCUCAUAUUCUGAUGCAUAGCCUGCUUUUGUAACCUGUUCAUUGUACCUUACAUGCUUAUCCUAAACUGCUUAGUAUAGGUUGGUUAGUGAUCCAUCAGUGACCCCCACCUUGUCCUUCUUGCACUUGCUUCAUCAUCGAAGACCCGAUCAACGGGAUCGAAGACCAGAGCCCGACACCUCACAUCACAUCACGCCCCUUUUGUUGCUCGACUCUGCAGAGUUACCAUCGAGUGCCGAGGGUGGAACCUCAUACAUCACUCCUGAUGAGAUCUCUGUAGUGUAGCUAUUCGGUCGUGGUCGUCGAUGGUGAUUUCCUCCUUAACCACUUCCGAUACGACUCUGUCGUGCAACCCCUCAAGUGUGAACCUCGAGGGUGGAUCCUCUUACUUUCACCUUGAUGAUUACAUCGAGUGGAAUUCACCGGGGGUGAUUCCUUGAGUUUUCCCCUUGAUGUUUGGACACACGGAUACUUGGACUUUACCACCGUUACUUGGAAAGGCGGGUCGAACCUGAGGGGUACCCGCGAGUGAUGUGGACACGGGUUGACCUGGAAGGUGCCCGUGAGAUAAUUACGAGGCGUGGCCGGGCAUUCUUAGCCCUUGCCGCAAGUCCUCGAGAUGGGGCAACGGGGUCACAUCUUUCGUGAGUCUCUACUUGUUACCGCGUGCUCCUAAUCCACUACGAUUUGGAUAUUUGAUCCGAGGGGCCUCCGGCCUGAUAGCACUAACCAUCACGUGGGCAUAGUAUGGGCGUUCUGCGUCGUAUGCAUCAGCCGAAGCUUAAUAGACGUCAGCGACUGAGCGGCGCGCGCCGGGUUGGACUGCGAAAGCACCUGCCUUUUUGAAGGAGGUAGCUAGGUCUGCUCACCGGCCGCCCUCGCAACAUGCAGGAGUUCCCGAGGCGAUGGCCCAUGACCCCUGGGGGCAUAGGUUUAGUCCAGCGUGCUGACCUCUCUAUUAAGCCUAGGUCGGGUUGCGGCGUAUUGUUUGGCCGAGGCCGGGCAUGACCCAGGAAAGUGUGUCCGGCCGGAGUUAAGCGAGCGUGGUGGGUAAGUUGGUGCACCCCUGCAGGGAAGUAGACAUCUAACGAUAGCCUGUCCUACGGUAACGGACACUUGGAGUUGUAUCCCGAUCGAUACAACUAGAACUGGAUAGUUGUGAUGAGAAAUGGAUUGUGAUGAGAAAUGGAUAGUAUGGCUCUGGGAUUGCUUUCUCCCAGGGAGUCGAGAAAGGAUCUCUGGCCGAGGUUGAUAACACUACUACUACUACUUUACUUUAUGCUACUCUUAUCUCUUCUGAUGCUGCAAGACGCUUGAAGAUGCUAGUCUUCGAUAGGCUAGGCUUUCCCCUUCCCUUCUGGCAUUCUGCAGUCCAGUCCACCGAUAUAGCCCAUUUCAUUGAUACCGAUGCAUAUGUAGUGUAGAUCCUUGCUUGUGAGUACUUUGGAUGAGUACUCACGGUUGCUUUGCUCCCCCCUUUUCCCGCUUUCUUCUUCUUUGCGAUUGAUGCAACCAGAUGUCGUAGCCCAGGAGCCAGAUGCCACCGUCGAUGCCUAGUACUACGUGGAGACCGUCGACGACCAGGAGUAGUUAGGAGGCUCCCAGGCGGGAGGCCUUGCCUUUUCGAUUGUAGAUGCUUUUGUGCUGGGCUUCUUAAGGCAAACUUGUCUAACCUAUGUCUGUACUCAGAUAUUGUUGCUUCCGCUGACUCUUGUGUAUUCGAGCUUAUGUAUUCGAGCCCCCGAGGCCC
rnacentral:rRNA from 1 species